rnacentral:rRNA from 1 species
GAGCGGUAUAAUCCCUUCGGGGAUUAGAGAGCGGCGCACGGGUGAGUAACGCGUAUGCAACCUACCUUUUACCGGGGAAUAGCCCGGAGAAAUUUGGAUUAAUGCCCCAUGGUUCCUUAUGUCUGCAUGGAUUUAAGGAUAAAGUUGAGGCGGUAAAAGAUGGGCAUGCGUGACAUUAGCUAGUUGGGGGGGUAACGGCCCACCAAGGCUACGAUGUCUAGGGGUUCUGAGAGGAUGAUCCCCCACACUGGUACUGAGACACGGACCAGACUCCUACGGGAGGCAGCAGUGAGGAAUAUUGGUCAAUGGGCGCAAGCCUGAACCAGCCAUCCCGCGUGAAGGAAGACUGUACUAUGUAUUGUAAACUUCUUUUCUGCAAGAAGAACGUGCCCUACGAGUAGGGUAGUGACGGUAUUGCAGGAAUAAGCAUCGGCUAACUCCGUGCCAGCAGCCGCGGUAAUACGGAGGAUGCGAGCGUUAUCCGGAUUCAUUGGGUUUAAAGGGUGCGUAGGCGGCCCUAUAAGUCAGUGGUGAAAGUUUGCGGCUUAACCGUAAAAUUGCCAUUGAUACUGUAGGGCUUGAAUCCACGUGAAGUAGGCGGAAUGUGCAGUGUAGCGGUGAAAUGCUUAGAUAUUGCACAGAACACCGAUUGCGAAGGCAGCUUACUAAAGUGGUAUUGACGCUGAUGCACGAAAGCGUGGGGAUCGAACAGGAUUAGAUACCCUGGUAGUCCACGCUGUAAACGAUGUUCACUCGCUGUAUGCGAUAUACCGUAUGCGGCCAAGCGAAAGCAUUAAGUGAACCACCUGGGGAGUACGCCGGCAACGGUGAAACUCAAAGGAAUUGACGGGGGCCCGCACAAGCGGAGGAACAUGUGGUUUAAUUCGAUGAUACGCGAGGAACCUUACCUGGGCUUAAAUGUAGAGUGCAUGUUGUGGGAACACGCUUCCCUUCGGGGCUCUUUACAAGGUGCUGCAUGGUUGUCGUCAGCUCGUGCCGUGAGGUGUCGGGUUAAGUCCCAUAACGAGCGCAACCCCUACUGUUAGUUGCCAUCAGGUUAAGCUGGGCACUCUAGCGGGACUGCCACCGUAAGGUGAGAGGAAGGUGGGGAUGACGUCAAAUCAGCACGGCCCUUAUGUCCAGGGCUACACACGUGUUACAAUGGUCGGUACAAAGGGCAGCUACCCCGCGAGGGGAUGCUAAUCUCGAAAGCCGGU